GAUGAACGCUGGCGGCGUGCCUAAUACAUGCAAGUCGAGCGAACAGACGAGGAGCUUGCUCCUCUGACGUUAGCGGCGGACGGGUGAGUAACACGUGGAUAACCUACCUAUAAGACUGGGAUAACUUCGGGAAACCGGAGCUAAUACCGGAUAAUAUAUUGAACCGCAUGGUUCAAUAGUGAAAGACGGUUUUGCUGUCACUUAUAGAUGGAUCCGCGCCGCAUUAGCUAGUUGGUAAGGUAACGGCUUACCAAGGCAACGAUGCGUAGCCGACCUGAGAGGGUGGUCGGCCACCCGGGAACUGAGACACGGUCCAGACUCCUACGGGAGGCAGCAGUAGGGAAUCUUCCGCAAUGGGCGAAAGCGUGACGGAGCAACGCCGCGUGAGUGAUGAAGGUCUUCGGAUCGUAAAACUCUGUUAUUAGGGAAGAACAAAUGUGUAAGUAACUAUGCACGUCUUGACGGUACCUAAUCAGAAAGCCACGGCUAACUACGUG
rnacentral:rRNA from 1 species